rnacentral:rRNA from 1 species
GAUGAACGCUGGCGGCGUGCCUAAUACAUGCAAGUCGAGCGAACGGACGAGAAGCUUGCUUCUCUGAUGUUAGCGGCGGACGGGUGAGUAACACGUGGAUAACCUACCUAUAAGACUGGGAUAACUUCGGGAAACCGGAGCUAAUACCGGAUAAUAUUUUGAACCGCAUGGUUCAAAAGUGAAAGACGGUCUUGCUGUCACUUAUAGAUGGAUCCGCGCUGCAUUAGCUAGUUGGUAAGGUAACGGCUUACCAAGGCAACGAUGCAUAGCCACCUGAGAGGGUGAUCGGCCACACUGGAACUGAGACACGGUCCAGACUCCUACGGGAGGCAGCAGUAGGGAAUCUUCCGCAAUGGGCGAAAGCCUGACGGAGCAACGCCGCGUGAGUGAUGAAGGUCUUCGGAUCGUAAAACUCUGUUAUUAGGGAAGAACAUAUGUGUAAGUAACUGUGCACAUCUUGACGGUACCUAAUCAGAAAGCCACGGCUAACUACGUG